AUUGAACGCUGGCGGCAGGCCUAACACAUGCAAGUCGAACGGUAACAGGAAGAAGCUUGCUUCUUUGCUGACGAGUGGCGGACGGGUGAGUAAUGUCUGGGAAACUGCCUGAUGGAGGGGGAUAACUACUGGAAACGGUAGCUAAUACCGCAUAACGUCGCAAGACCAAAGAGGGGGACCUUCGGGCCUCUUGCCAUCGGAUGUGCCCAGAUGGGAUUAGCUAGUAGGUGGGGUAACGGCUCACCUAGGCGACGAUCCCUAGCUGGUCUGAGAGGAUGACCAGCCACACUGAAACUGAGACACGGUCCAGACUCCUACGGGAGGCAGCAGUGGGGAAUAUUGCACAAGGGGCGAAAGCCUGAUGCAGCCAUGCCGCGGGUAUGAAGAAGGCCUUCGGGUUGUAAAGUACUUUCAGCGGGGAGGAAGGGAGUAAAGUUAAUACCUUUGCUCAUGGACGUUACCCGCAGAAGAAGCACCGGCUAACUCCGU
rnacentral:rRNA from 1 species